GGGUUGUGAGGUUAAGCGACUAAGCGUACACGGUGGAUGCCCUGGCAGUCAGAGGCGAUGAAGGACGUGCUAAUCUGCGAAAAGCGUCGGUAAGGUGAUAUGAACCGUUAUAACCGGCGAUGUCCGAAUGGGGAAACCCAGUGCAAUUCGUUGCACUAUCGUUAACUGAAUACAUAGGUUAACGAGGCGAACCGGGGGAACUGAAACAUCUAAGUACCCCGAGGAAAAGAAAUCAACCGAGAUUCCCCCAGUAGCGGCGAGCGAACGGGGAGCAGCCCAGAGUCUGAAUCAGCUUGUGUGUUAGUGGAACGGUCUGGAAAGUCCGACGGUACAGGGUGAUAGUCCCGUACACCAAAAUGCACAGGCUGUGAACUCGAAGAGUAGGGCGGGACACGUGGUAUCCUGUCUGAAUAUGGGGGGACCAUCCUCCAAGGCUAAAUACUCCUGACUGACCGAUAGUGAACCAGUACCGUGAGGGAAAGGCGAAAAGAACCCCGGCGAGGGGAGUGAAAAAGAACCUGAAACCGUGUACGUACAAGCAGUGGGAGCACCUUCGGGUGUGACUGCGUACCUUUUGUAUAAUGGGUCAGCGACUUAUAUUCUGUAGCAAGGUUAACCGUAUAGGGGAGCCGCAGGGAAACCGAGUCUUAACUGGGCGUUAAGUUGCAGGGUAUAGACCCGAAACCCGGUGAUCUAGCCAUGGGCAGGUUGAAGGUUGGGUAACACUAACUGGAGGACCGAACCGACUAAUGUUGAAAAAUUAGCGGAUGACUUGUGGCUGGGGGUGAAAGGCCAAUCAAACCGGGAGAUAGCUGGUUCUCCCCGAAAGCUAUUUAGGUAGCGCCUCGUGAAUUCAUCUUCGGGGGUAGAGCACUGUUUCGGCUAGGGGGUCAUCCCGACUUACCAACCCGAUGCAAACUACGAAUACCGAAGAAUGUUAUCACGGGAGACACACGGCGGGUGCUAACGUCCGUCGUGAAGAGGGAAACAACCCAGACCGCCAGCUAAGGUCCCAAAGUCAUGGUUAAGUGGGAAACGAUGUGGGAAGGCACAGACAGCCAGGAUGUUGGCUUAGAAGCAGCCAUCAUUUAAAGAAAGCGUAAUAGCUCACUGGUCGAGUCGGCCUGCGCGGAAGAUGUAACGGGGCUAAACCAUGCACCGAAGCUGCGGCAGCGACACUAUGUGUUGUUGGGUAGGGGAGCGUUCUGUAAGCCUGCGAAGGUGACCUGUGAGGGUUGCUGGAGGUAUCAGAAGUGCGAAUGCUGACAUAAGUAACGAUAAAGCGGGUGAAAAGCCCGCUCGCCGGAAGACCAAGGGUUCCUGUCCAACGUUAAUCGGGGCAGGGUGAGUCGACCCCUAAGGCGAGGCCGAAAGGCGUAGUCGAUGGGAAACAGGUUAAUAUUCCUGUACUUGGUGUUACUGCGAAGGGGGGACGGAGAAGGCUAUGUUAGCCGGGCGACGGUUGUCCCGGUUUAAGCAUGUAGGCUGGUUGUCCAGGCAAAUCCGGAUAAUCAAGGCUGAGGUGUGAUGACGAGGUACUACGGUGCUGAAGUAACAAAUGCCCUGCUUCCAGGAAAAGCCUCUAAGCAUCAGGUAACAUCAAAUCGUACCCCAAACCGACACAGGUGGUCAGGUAGAGAAUACCAAGGCGCUUGAGAGAACUCGGGUGAAGGAACUAGGCAAAAUGGUGCCGUAACUUCGGGAGAAGGCACGCUGGUGUGUAGGUGAAGUCCCUGCGGAUGGAGCUGAGACCAGUCGAAGAUACCAGCUGGCUGCAACUGUUUAUUAAAAACACAGCACUGUGCAAACACGAAAGUGGACGUAUACGGUGUGACGCCUGCCCGGUGCCGGAAGGUUAAUUGAUGGGGUUAUCCGUAAGGAGAAGCUCUUGAUCGAAGCCCCGGUAAACGGCGGCCGUAACUAUAACGGUCCUAAGGUAGCGAAAUUCCUUGUCGGGUAAGUUCCGACCUGCACGAAUGGCGUAAUGAUGGCCAGGCUGUCUCCACCCGAGACUCAGUGAAAUUGAACUCGCUGUGAAGAUGCAGUGUACCCGCGGCAAGACGGAAAGACCCCGUGAACCUUUACUAUAGCUUGACACUGAACAUUGAGCCUUGAUGUGUAGGAUAGGUGGGAGGCUUUGAAGCGUGGACGCCAGUCUGCGUGGAGCCAACCUUGAAAUACCACCCUUUAAUGUUUGAUGUUCUAACGUUGGCCCCUGACCGGGGUUGCGGACAGUGUCUGGUGGGUAGUUUGACUGGGGCGGUCUCCUCCCAAAGCGUAACGGAGGAGCACGAAGGUUAGCUAAUCCUGGUCGGACAUCAGGAGGUUAGUGCAAUGGCAUAAGCUAGCUUGACUGCGAGCGUGACGGCGCGAGCAGGUGCGAAAGCAGGUCAUAGUGAUCCGGUGGUUCUGAAUGGAAGGGCCAUCGCUCAACGGAUAAAAGGUACUCCGGGGAUAACAGGCUGAUACCGCCCAAGAGUUCAUAUCGACGGCGGUGUUUGGCACCUCGAUGUCGGCUCAUCACAUCCUGGGGCUGAAGUAGGUCCCAAGGGUAUGGCUGUUCGCCAUUUAAAGUGGUACGCGAGCUGGGUUUAGAACGUCGUGAGACAGUUCGGUCCCUAUCUGCCGUGGGCGCUGGAGAAUUGAGGGGGGCUGCUCCUAGUACGAGAGGACCGGAGUGGACGCAUCACUGGUGUUCGGGUUGUCAUGCCAAUGGCACUGCCCGGUAGCUAAAUGCGGAAGAGAUAAGUGCUGAAAGCAUCUAAGCACGAAACUUGCCCCGAGAUGAGUUCUCCCUGAGACUUUAAGUCUCCUGAAGGAACGUUGAAGACGACGACGUUGAUAGGCCGGGUGUGUAAGCGCAGCGAUGCGUUGAGCUAACCGGUACUAAUGAACCGUGAGGCUUAACCUUACAACGCCGAAG
rnacentral:rRNA from 1 species